rnacentral:rRNA from 1 species
GACGAACGCUGGCGGCGUGCUUAACUCAUGCAAGUCGAGCGGUAAGGCCCUUCGGGGUACACGAGCGGCGAACGGGUGAGUAACACGUGGGUGAUCUGCCCUCAGCCCUGGGAUAAGCCUGGGAAACCGGGUCUAAUACCGGAUAUGACUGCCUGUCGCCUGGCGGUUGGUGGAAAGUUUUUUCGGCUGGGGAUGGGCCCGCGGCCUAUCAGCUUGUUGGUGGGGUGAUGGCCUACCAAGGCGGUGACGGGUAGCCGGCCUGAGAGGGCGACCGGGCACACUGGGACUGAGACACGGCCCAGACUCCUACGGGAGGCAGCAGUGGGGAAUAUUGCGCAAUGGGCGGAAGCCUGACGCAGCGACGCCGCGUGGGGGAUGACGGCCUUCGGGUUGUAAACCUCUUUCGCCGGGGACGAAGCUUUUGUGACGGUACCUGGAGAAGAAGCACCGGCCAACUACGUGCCAGCAGCCGCGGUAACAC